rnacentral:lncRNA from 1 species
CUCAGUUCUUCAUUGUCAGCUAAGAGCUGAGCGUUUAUGGCCGCUUGGUCUUGACCUACAUCUCCCAUAGUUCUCUGCAAAGAAACUUCAAAGAAAGAUUAAAAGGCAAAGGGGGGUGUUAAAUAGUUGCUUGGGUCGGAUACUUGGAGUAUCGACCAAGGUAAGAGUAAAUGCAAGAAUUUAUGGUAAAAAUCGAAUCAAGUUGAAAAAAAAAAGGAAAGAUGAAUAUUUAUUUAUUUUUUUUUGAUUUUCGAAAACUUGGAAAGAAAGUAAAACUUCUUUAAAAAAAAAAAAAAAUGGAAAAACUUGGAGAACAAUCCGAAAUUUUUUUUAAAAAAAAGGAAAGUAAAUAUUUUUUUUUUUUUGAAUGGUGACGGCUAGGGUUUCAGAAAGAACUGAGUUUCGCAGGAAACUUCAGCUCUGAUACCAAAAUGUUGUAGGCACGGGUCGGAGGGUCGAACAGACGGACGGACGCACGGACGGAUGGCCGUUCCGCGGUUCAGCUUGCCUCGGACAGAUGGUACUGGCCGGUUCGUCUCUUGCUUGCGAUCGAACCUGAAACAGAUAGGAACCUUAAUGAGUUUUUAACAGGAACAAGAACAGGAACAAGAUAUGAUUCUUUUGGUUUUUU